UCGUGCUAGACGGGGAGCUAGCGGUGCCCUGCACCCGCAAUCCGCUAUAGCGGGGUCGAAUUCCUCCCCGAGGGCCGACGCGACCGCUCGUGUGCGCCACCAGCGUCACGGCGUGGAUCCCGUGCGGCGCGGGCCUGCGAACCGGGUCAGGACCGGGAGGUAGCAGCCCUAAGUAGUCACCCGCGGGUGUCACGGGGGCUUCUGCGUCGUCCUGGUGGAACGCAGCGGCGGUCGUAGC
rnacentral:SRP_RNA from 1 species